rnacentral:misc_RNA from 1 species
GAAGUGCGAUAAGCAAUGCGAAUUGCAGAAUUCCGCGAGUCAUCAGAUCUUUGAACGCAAAUGGCGCCGGAGGGAUAUCCUUCUGGCAUGUCUGUUUCAGUGUCUGAGAGGUUUCACCAAUAUCUUAAUGUGAUUGACUGCGGUUGCUGCAGCUUCUGCUGCUGCUGCCUGGUCUCUCAUGAAAGAUGCGCGAGUGGAUCUUUCGGUCCAAUGAAGUGGUCACAUCACUCGUAUGUGAUUUCAUUGGAAGCACCGAAUUAUCCGCCAUGCUCGCGGUCCCUUCUUUAUAUGUAGUGUGCGUGUAUCAUAUACAUACAUAUCAACAUAUAUAUAUCUCUCUCUACACCCUGCAUCUGAGAUAGGCAAGAUCACCCGCUGAACUUAA